GCCGGCCCGGCCCGCCCCUUCAGCCCCUUUGGCCGCCUUCCCACUCCCUUCUUCCGGGGAGCCGAGCCCGCCCUCCCGGCCUAGGCGUUCUGGAGGACGGGAAGUCUAAGAUGAAGACACCAACAGCUUCAGUGUCUGAUAAGGGCUCGCUUCCUGGUUCACAGAUGGUCAUCUUUUUGCUGCAUCCUCACGUGGCAGAAGGAUGAGCAGAAGGAUCUCAGAAGUUACAUUUUUAAAAUGACAGAUGGGAACAACCAUUACAACUCCUUAGUCUAUGAAUUACUCCUUGGAGAGGCAACUCCCGUCAACCAGGAACAACCAUUUAGCACUCUACAUGAGCAAGAAAUAAACUUCCAUCAUGAUCGUGCCACUAUGUAGCUUGGAGUUCGCUUAUUACAGCAGCUAAUGUUACCCUCACGAAUAUACCCUAUGUGCAAACUGAUGUAUGGAGGAAACAGAAACUGUAAAUGUGGAUUCAGGAGUAUAGGGAUCAAGGAAAGCAGAUGUCUGAGUUGCCUUAAGAAGCCAGGAGAUUGAACAGAGGCUUGAGUUGGAUCCUCCUGAAACCUAAAGCUUUAGCCACUAUUCCAGGACUCGUCCCAUAAUGUGUGCCUUGUAAGGAGGGGAGGAAAAGAAAGCAUUAAAU
rnacentral:lncRNA from 10 species